rnacentral:lncRNA from 1 species
AUGAACACAGACAAAAGCUGCUACAACCUUCCCCCCCACACACCAAACCUUUCAAAUCAACUGUAGUUGCUAUGUAAGGUUAUUUGUUUCUAAGGCAACAGUGUAUAUCUAAGUACUAAUGGCCUGUCCUUUUGCCAGGCAACAAACAGCCUUGUGAUGCAACUGCACCUGUCUCGGCUACGCGUUACUAUGGAGACGCUCCAGUUGCUAUGGGUACCAUCACGCUAAUCGCCUAGCAAAGGCAGACAUACAGCAGUCUUCUCAGAGAGCCCAGCUGUUCCUCCCUGUCUCUUGCUGAAGACUGAUUGUCUAGGGCCUGUGAUGGAAUGCUUCUCAACUGAGAUGCAGAAGAACUUCAUUAAUGCUAUUUCAGAAGAUCACUUUGUGCUCCCUCCUGCAGAACAAACAGCAGACUAGGAAAAGAAUCUGCAAAGAAGUGGACUGUAAAAUUCCUGAAGUCUAUGACAUCAUGCCAUCCCUAAUUAACCUCAACUUGCAGUCCAAGGAUAAUUCCUCUUAACUAGGUGGUUACGAUAGAAACAUUUCUAUACAUUUUUAAAUAUUUUUUUGUAGAACUGAGGAAUGCACUUCAAAUUCAAGUACUAUGUAUUCAUAAAAAUUGAUCUUAAAAAUUUGGUUCUGAUUAUUUGGCUCUCUUUUGGAAUCUAACAUUAAGACACUUUUUAAAAAAGUGACAGGCUACUUACCCUCCCUUCCAAUGAUAUAUUUGUAAAAAUGGUACCCAUGACCUUACUGUCUCAAACAAAUGGGCAUGUGAGGAGGAUAAAAUGUCUCUAUUGUUUCUACUGUUCUCCUUGAAGAAGCAAAGACCAAGUAACCACAACAAAAUGGUCACCUGGGAGCACCGUCUACAUGGAGACUGCGAAAGACAACAGUGGGGACAACUGAGUGAGCCUCCACUGAAUGUCUGCAGAGACCGGCCAGAUGAGGGGAUGAUGGAGUUGCCUGCUUGACUCGUUCCUGUACUUUUAUCCCAACAAAACAUGACACACACCGAGAUGUGAAAGCUGUCGACUUUUCUUUGUAAAUGUUUCUACCCAGGAAGACAUGAUUUCACCCACCAUGAAGCCUUCUGGAAGCACAUUCCUCUGACGCUGCAGCAGCGAAGGAAAGAUGGAAAAGAGAAGUUAUCAUUUCUUUCUCAAGAUCCUGGCCCCAUGAGCCUCAGUGUAGCCCUAGUUCCUGGGAUCAGCACCAACAGGCAGGGAGGAGAGGCUCUGGCGCCCUGCAGACAGCACCAGGUUCUUGGCAUCAGGAGCUGGAUACAGAGUCCCUGAUAAUCCCAGCCACAGAAUAUUUCAAACUCACCGACAUGUCCUCUAAAUAUCAGAUAUGAAAAGGCUUCCACUCUUGCACCUGUCUUGCUAUUAUUUUACAGAUGUGUUCUAAAAGCUAUAAAGACGGAAAUCACUAUUAGUGUGUCACUUAUGUGAUAUUCAGACACCUGAGCUCUGUGAUGAUUUUAAUGCCCCACAGGUCUUUCAGAAAUCCACCUCAUAUACCUCAGAACGCCCCUCCAUCUGCAAGGGAACGCAUGUGGAACAGGUGGAGAAGGAAUUCUUUUAGGCCCAUGGGUAGAAUUGUAAGGACUCUUGUAAAUGCUUCUUCUGUAGUAGAGAAGCUGGACGGUAUGUGUGUGUGCUUAUGCGUGUUUGAAUGGACGCAGGAAAAAUCAAUAAUCUGCUUGCAUCAACACCUAAAUAAAACCAAAAUAAUCCCA